rnacentral:rRNA from 1 species
GACGUAGGGCGCAAGCGUUGUCCGGAUUUAUUGGGCGUAAAGAGCUCGUAGGCGGCUUGUCGCUUCGACUGUGAAAACCUGCGGCUCAACCGUAUGGUCUGCAGUCGAUACGGGCAGGCUAGAGUUCGGUAGGGGAGACUGGAAUUCCUGGUGUAGCGGUGAAAUGCGCAGAUAUCAGGAGGAACACCGGUGGCGAAGGCGGGUCUCUGGGCCGAUACUGACGCUGAGGAGCGAAAGCGUGGGGAGCGAACAGG